UGGACAGAUUAUUGUAUUCGACUGUAUUCACGGCGUGAAACAGGGGAUUGCACUGUUUUUAAACGGAAAGUGAAUCAAUUAACAUAAUCGACUCCU
rfam:Nicotiana attenuata strain TT scaffold04892, whole genome shotgun sequence.